CCUACGGGUGGCAGCAGUGGGGAAUAUUGGACAAUGGGGGCAACCCUGAUCCAGCCAUGCCGCGUGUGUGAAGAAGGCCCUCGGGUUGUAAAGCACUUUCAGUGAGGAAGAACGCCUGGUGGUUAAUACCCAUCAGGAAAGACAUCACUCACAGAAGAAGCACCGGCUAACUCCGUGCCAGCAGCCGCGGUAAUACGGAGGGUGCGAGCGUUAAUCGGAAUUACUGGGCGUAAAGCGCGCGUAGGUGGCUUGAUAAGCCGGUUGUGAAAGCCCCGGGCUCAACCUGGGAACGGCAUCCGGAACUGUCAAGCUAGAGUGCAGGAGAGGAAGGUAGAAUUCCCGGUGUAGCGGUGAAAUGCGUAGAGAUCGGGAGGAAUACCAGUGGCGAAGGCGGCCUUCUGGACUGACACUGACACUGAGGUGCGAAAGCGUGGGUAGCAAACAGGAGUAGAUACCCCGGUAGUC
rnacentral:rRNA from 1 species